GAUGAACGCUGGCGGCGUGCCUAAUACAUGCAAGUCGAGCGAACAGACGAGAGUGCUUGCACUCUCUGACGUUAGCGGCGGACGGGUGAGUAACACGUGGGUAACCUACCUAUAAGACUGGGAUAACUUCGGGAAACCGGAGCUAAUACCGGAUAAUAUUUAGCUUCGCAUGACGCAAUAGUGAAAGACGUUUCUGCUGUCACUUAUAGAUGGACCCGCGGUGUAUUAGCUAGUUGGUGAGUUAACGGCUCACCAAGGCAACGAUACAUAGCCGACCUGAGAGGGUGAUCGGCCACACUGGGACUGAGGCACGGCCCAGACUCCUACGGGAGGCAGCAGUAGGGAAUCUUAAGCAAUGGACGAAAGUCUGACGGAGCAAUGCCGCGUGAGUGAAGAAGGGUUUCGGAUCGUAAAACGCUGUUGUAAGGGAAGAACAAGUACGUUAGUAACUGAACGUACCUUGACGGUACCUUACCAGAAAGCCACGGCUAACUACGUG
rnacentral:rRNA from 1 species